UACGGAGGGGGCGAGCGUUAUUCGGAAUUAUUGGGCGUAAAGGGCGCGUAGGCGGCUGGGCAAGUCAAAGGUGAAAUCCCUCGGCUCAACUGAGGAACUGCCUUUGAAACUGCCUGGCUUGAGGCCGGGAGGGGGUAGCGGAAUUCCCAGUGUAGCGGUGAAAUGCGUAGAUAUUGGGAGGAACACCAGUGGCGAAGGCGGCUACCUGGACCGGUUCUGACGCUGAGGUGCGAAAGCGUGGGGAGCAAACAGG
rnacentral:rRNA from 1 species